rnacentral:rRNA from 1 species
CUACGGGAGGCAGCGGUGGGGAAUAUUGCACACUGGACGCAAGUCUGAUGCAGUAACGCCGCGUGGGGGAAGAAGACCUUCGGGUUGUAAACCUCUUUUUGUAAAGACGAGUGAAGACGGUAUUUAUAGAAUAAGUCUCGGCUAACUACGUGCCAGCAGCCGCGGUAAGACGUAGGAGGCGAGCGUUAUCCGGAUUCACUGGGCGUAAAGCGCAUGUAGGCGGUUCGUUAAGUCCGCGGUUAAAGCCCCCGGCUCAACUGGGGGAGGUUCGUGGAGACUAAGGGACUUGGGGGCAACAGAGGCACGUGGAACUCCCGGUGUAGCGGUGGAAUGCGUAGAGAUCGGGAAGAACACCAGUGGCGAAGGCGACGUGCUGGGUUGCAACUGACGCUGAGAUGCGAAAGUGUGGGGAGCAAACGGGAUUAGAAACCCCUGUAGUCC